GCAUAUCAAUAAGCGGAGGAAAAGAAACCAACAGGGAUUGCCUUAGUAGCGGCGAGUGAAGCGGCAAAAGCUCAAAUUUGAAAUCUGGUACUUUCAGUAUCCGAGUUGUAAUUUGUAGAAGCAACUUUGGUGAUGGUCUUUGCAUAAGUUCCUUGGAAUAGGACGUCAUAGAGGGUGAGAAUCCCGUUUAUGGUGAAGAACCCACACUAUGUAAAGUGCUUUCGAAGAGUCGAGUUGUUUGGGAAUGCAGCUCAAAGUGGGUGGUAAAUUCCAUCUAAAGCUAAAUAUUGGCGAGAGACCGAUAGCGAACAAGUACUGUGAAGGAAAGAUGAAAAGAACUUUGAAAAGAGAGUGAAAAAGUACGUGAAAUUGUUGAAAGGGAAGGGAUCUAAAUCAGACAUGGUAUUUUGUGAUCAACAGUCUUUCGGGACUGUGCACUCGCAUUUUACUAGGCCAGCAUCGGUUAGAAGGGGGUAAAAAAGAUUUUGGAAUGUGGCUCCUCGGAGUGUUAUAGCCAAGGUUAAUUGCCCCAUUUCUGACCGAGGACCGCGUCUUUUGACUAGGAUGCUGGCGUAAUGGUUUUGAUCCACCCGUCUUGAAACACGGACC
rnacentral:rRNA from 1 species